UUGCAAAGUAGUUCAAAUGUUUAUUAUGAACAUUUUUAUAACUUAUUUCUUCCUAGAUUGUGAGUCAAAGACACAURUUGAGAAUCCAAUAACGCGCUUUCGGCGGGAAGUUUUACUAGAAACUGAUAAGGAUCUUCCAGAUGCGCUUGUAACUCUGUUGAAGCAUGGAAGGACUUCGGGACGAAGUGGCGCUGACGCGCGUCGUCCUUGCAGCGUAAGCAAGGAAUUGGCAGUGGUGCGUCUCUAAUUUAUCCUCAACCACUCAUCGAUGUCAUAAGGGCUUUGUACCCUUCUGGUAUUAAAAAUCGCCCACCUGCCAGUAGAAGAGGCCAAUUCUAUGAAGUCUCCCUGGCAGAGCUGAUUCGGGAAUAUGUGUACCUUGACCAGUGAAUGUUCAUG